UACGUAGGUGGCAAGCGUUAUCCGGAAUUACUGGGCGUAAAGCGCACGCAGGCGGUUCUUUAAGUUUGACGUGAAAGCUCCCGGCUUAACUGGGAGAGGUCGUUGAAAACUGGAGGACUUGAGGCAAUGAGAGGGGUGUAGAAUUCCAGGUGUAGUGGUGGAAUGCGUAGAUAUCUGGAGGAAUACCAGUGGCGAAAGCGGCACCCUAGCGUUGUUCUGACGCUCAUGUGCGAAAGCGUGGGGAGCGAACGGG
rnacentral:misc_RNA from 1 species